AGAAAUGGAAGUGUUAUCGUACAAGGUGUCGUGGAGGUAAACGCCGAUGAAGUCGUGAAGAAUAAAACACAGAGUGCGAAGACAUUAACCGAAUUAACAGAAUAUAUCAACUCUACAAAAUAUAAUAACGCCCCUAUGACUUAUACUGGAGACUCUUCACAAUUUGAGAAAUUAUUUGCUGAUGUCUGUAACGCUGUGGGUACAGUGUGCAGUAACUGGACUUAUACCUGUCAAGAUAGUGUCUGUCGUAGUCGAUGUGGCGAUGUUUCUUGUGGUGAUCAUGGGAUAUGCGAAUUCACCGAGGAAAUAUUAAUUUGUAGGUGUUCCAGUGAUAAUUUAUAUAGUUACUAUGGUGAUAAAUGUGAAAAUAGUAACAUGAAAUGGGAAAUACUGGUCAGUAUCACAGCAGCUGUUGGAAUUGUUCUAAUAAUUCUAUUAACAAUAGCCUUCAUCUGUUACUGUCAGAGAAAAAAGAAACGGUCUCAACAAGAAAAGGGUACUGAAAACGUGUCGGUUCACUCUAUAAGUUCUGGUCUUCCUGACGACAUACCGCUACAAGAGAAGGGGAACCAAGAAGAAAAUCAACUCUAUGAUGGACGAUAUUUUGGAAAAAGACAUCCUAAUUCAUUGAAUGAACCACGCAACUAUGAAUAUCCUGUAAAAUUAGGACCAUCACGAGGAGAUUAUGUUGAUGUUGAGGAAAGGGAGAGUCGUCACAGUUCGGUAUCACCUGCCUAUCGGUCUAAAUUUGGUCAUAUUAAUCCACAAGCUGACUAUAGUAUUAAAAGGCCGCAGUUAAUACUACGACCCGGAAAAGGACCCGGUUUGGGACUGCGAUAAAAACUUGACUUCUGUCCAAGAUAACAUGAAACAUAAUUAUAAGAGAAGAAAUCGAUGUUUUUAACAAUAUCUAUACAUGCUUAAUAAUAACGAAAAUAAGAGCUGAUAGUGAAAUUAUGUCCAUUUUAAACGGGGAUCUUUGCCCCCGAAAUAAAAGAUAUAAAUCCGAAUGGAAAUAGAUCCGCAUAAUAUUGGUGUAUAUUAUAUGAUUUAAAUUAAAUAUUAAUUAUUUGUGAAAUGAAAUUAAAUGAAAUGGGGGUUAACGUCCUACUGUUCUGCUCUGACUGUGCUAAUGAAGACGGGCAUGCAUACGCCAUACGGUGCUAUGAGGGGAAAUUUGAACCGGCCAAUGCAGGGAUCGAACACGCGACCUCCACACUAGCGAACCAGCAUAUUACCCACCUAGCCACCGUGACUCCCUAAUUAUUUGUAUUCAACAUUCGAACGCUAUACCAGGCAGGGUUCUUGGCUUGACAAAGACGGGAGAACCCUCGUCGAAACGUCGCUGUAAUAAACUCUUUAAGUAACUUGUAUUUCAUAUAAUUGUGUCAUG